UGCCAGCCGCCGCGGUAAUACGGAGGGUGCAAGCGUUGUUCGGAAUUACUGGGCGUAAAGCGCGUGUAGGCGGUCCGACAAGUCGGAUGUGAAAGCCCGAGGCUCAACCUCGGAACUGCAUUCGAAACUGUCGAACUAGAGUCCCGGAGAGGAUGGUGGAAUUCCCAGUGUAGAGGUGAAAUUCGUAGAUAUUGGGAGGAACACCGGUGGCGAAGGCGGCCAUCUGGACGGUGACUGACGCUGAGACGCGAAAGUGUGGGGAGCAAACAGGAUUAGAUA
rnacentral:rRNA from 1 species